UACGGAGGGGGCUAGCGUUGUUCGGAAUUACUGGGCGUAAAGCGCACGUAGGCGGCUUUGUAAGUUAGAGGUGAAAGCCCAGGGCUUAACUCUGGAAUUGCCUUUAAGACUGCAUCGCUAGAAUCGUGGAGAGGUGAGUGGAAUUCCGAGUGUAGAGGUGAAAUUCGUAGAUAUCGAGAGGAACACCAGUGGCGAAGGCGAGUCCCUGGACAACACCUGACACUGAGGCACGAAAGCUAGGGGAGCAAACAGG
rnacentral:rRNA from 1 species